UGCCUAACACAUGCAAGUCGGAUGUGCCGCAAGGUGCAUGGCAGACGGGUGAGUAACGCGUGGGGAACCUACCUCUUUGUGGGGAAUAACGCUCCGAAAGGAGUGGUAAUACCGCAUGAGACCUUUGGCUGGGAUGCUGAAGGUGAAACCUGGGGACCGCAAGGCCUGGGGCAAGGAGAGGGUCCUGCGUCUGAUUAGCUAGUUGGCGGGGUAAUGGCCCACCAAGGCGACGAUCAGUAGCCGGCCUGAGAGGGUGAUCGGCCACACUGGAACUGAGACACGGUCCAGACUCCUACGGGAGGCAGCAGUGGGGAAUUUUGCGCAAUGGACGAGAGUCUGACGCAGCAACGCCGCGUGGGUGAUGAAGGUCUUCGGACUGUAAAACCCUGUCGUCAGGGACGAAGGUGGCAGUGUUAAUAGCGCUGUCACUUGACGGUACCUGGAGAGGAAGCCCCGGCUAACUCUGUGCCAGCAGCCGCGGUAAUACAGAGGGGGCAAGCGUUAUUCGGAAUUAUUGGGAACUGCAUCUGAGACUGGAAGGCUAGAGUGCUGGAGAGGGUGGUGGAAUUCCUCGUGUAGCGGUGAAAUGCGUAGAGAUGAGGAGGAACACCAGUGGCGAAGGCGGCCACCUGGACAGUAACUGACGCUGAGGCGCGAAAGUGUGGGUAGCAAACAGGAUUAGAUACCCUGGUAGUCCACGCUGUAAACGAUGAACACUUGGUGUGGAGGGAGUUGACCCCUGCCGUGCCGGAGCUAACGCGUUAAGUGUUCCGCCUGGGGAGUACGGUCGCAAGGCUGAAACUCAAAGGAAU
rnacentral:rRNA from 1 species